ACACAUGCAAGUCGAGGGGCAGCAUGGUCUUAGCUUGCUAAGGCCGAUGGCGACCGGCGCACGGGUGAGUAACACGUAUCCAACCUGCCGUCUACUCUUGGACAGCCUUCUGAAAGGAAGAUUAAUACAAGAUGGCAUCAUGAGUCCGCAUGUUCACAUGAUUAAAGGUAUUCCGGUAGACGAUGGGGAUGCGUUCCAUUAGAUAGUAGGCGGGGUAACGGCCCACCUAGUCUUCGAUGGAUAGGGGUUCUGAGAGGAAGGUCCCCCACAUUGGAACUGAGACACGGUCCAAACUCCUACGGGAGGCAGCAGUGAGGAAUAUUGGUCAAUGGGCGAGAGCCUGAACCAGCCAAGUAGCGUGAAGGAUGACUGCCCUAUGGGUUGUAAACUUCUUUUAUAAAGGAAUAAAGUCGGGUAUGGAUACCCGUUUGCAUGUACUUUAUGAAUAAGGAUCGGCUAACUCCGUGCCAGCAGCCGCGGUAAUACGGAGGAUCCGAGCGUUAUCCGGAUUUAUUGGGUUUAAAGGGAGCGUAGAUGGAUGUUUAAGUCAGUUGUGAAAGUUUGCGGCUCAACCGUAAAAUUGCAGUUGAUACUGGAUAUCUUGAGUGUAGUUGAGGCAGGCGGAAUUCGUGGUGUAGCGGUGAAAUGCUUAGAUAUCACGAAGAACUCCGAUUGCGAAGGCAGCCUGCUAAGCUGCAACUGACAUUGAGGCUCGAAAGUGUGGGUAUCAAACAGGAUUAGAUACCCUGGUAGUCCACACGGUAAACGAUGAAUACUCGCUGUUUGCGAUAUACUGCAAGCGGCCAAGCGAAAGCGUUAAGUAUUCCACCUGGGGAGUACGCCGGCAACGGUGAAACUCAAAGG
rnacentral:rRNA from 1 species